rnacentral:lncRNA from 1 species
CCCCACCGCACCACCACGACUGGUCUGCCGACGAAUACUCCAUCCGCUGUGCCUUCAACCGGCCUCCGUCGGAGGGCUACUAACUUUAAACGCAGUGUAGCCCGCGUGCUAGCGUAAUGGCGCCUUCCCUGUACCAUCUACUGCUGCCUUCUGGACACUGUUAUCACUUGGCUACAUAGCUGAUGCCUGCUGGACUGUCGAUUAAUCACGAGCGUGAAAUGGGAGGAUCCCCCGGAUGACCAAAAUAAAGUCGUGGAGAACAUGAAGGAUGAAACAGAGACACAUGAGACCAACAAGAACAGGACAGGAGGCAAGGUAAG